rnacentral:rRNA from 1 species
GAUUAUGGCCAUGCCACCCUGAGCAUGCCUGAUCUCAUCUGCUCUUAGAAGCUAAGCAGGGUCAGGCCUGCUUAGGACUUGGAAGGGAGUCCACCUGGGAAUACUGGGUGCUGUCUGCU